UGGAUAGGAGACCUACAAAAGUAAAAACCAGUGGAAAUUGUGUGUAAUCUCAGGCGAUGCAUUUCUAUCACUGCUCAUUAUAUAUCGUUUUGUGUUCUUAUGUUACAUGGGUUCGAUAUUUACCUUGAACCCGUGCCAAACAGUGUGACACGAGUGUUGGUAAUUGCUGCACAUUCUUGAAGAUACACUAAAAUUAUUAAACACCUGCCCUGUUUUGGAUGCAUACCUGUAAAUAAAUCCAUGUAUCACAAUUUUUCAAAUAAAUGUCUCAUAGGUCUGUACCUAUCAAAACUUAGCAAAUAAAGUCACGACAUUCAGAGAACUUUUAUACUAUAUUUGUUUUUAUUUAUUUUUGUAACUUUAGUUUGUUAUACUAUAUUUGUUUUUAUUUAGUUGUAGUUAUAGUGCUUCAUUCUCCCUUUUUCCAGUGUCCUUAAGUAAUUUAUAAGUAUUAUACUCUCUUAAAGCAAUUCCUACAGGAUAACUAUCGUAUUCUAGGAGAAUAUGAAGCGAAAACGCAAGAAUUCAGCACAAGCAAUGUUAGAAAGCCUACGAGGACAUCAAACUGACAACUAUGGUACAACUUCCCAAGAUUUGCAAAGAACAACUUAGUGGGGAUCAACUGGAUGACCAACUUGAGAAUGAGAACAUAACAACUCCUACAUUCGGUAAUGACAACUUAAAUUCUUCCUCGAGCUCUAAUGAAGCUAACUCACAACAAAAAGAGGAGCCCUUACUUGUUGAGAUUAGAGAUACUUUGACUGGAGAAGUUACAACUCAAAAGAUGCAAGCAGAUCGAGUUUGGAACUUGGAAAAAAAUAAAAAAAUUGUGGUGGAACUCAACGGGGAUGGACAAGGAAGUGAUAAUGGUUCAAACUUGCUUGUGAGAUUUCUUGGCAAACUUUCUCAAAAGUCAAUAAUUUGUCCCAUAUCAGUUGAGAGAUGGGAUAGGAUGCCCGAGGCGAAAAAUCGCCUACAAUGGCAGUUAGUUGAGGAGAAUUUCGAGUUUGACUAUGCUAUUGGAAUCAAAUGGGUGAUGCGUACUUUACGCGAUAGAUGGAGGUCCUAUAAAUAUACGUUAAGAAAUCAAACCUUCUACCUAGCAAAAGUAAGGAACAAAUACUUGCUAAUCCUCCUCCAAACGUGGAUUCUGUUGAUUGGACUGCUUUUGUGCAUCACUAUAAAGAAGAGAAGAUGAAGACACAAAGUGAACAAAAUGCAAGAAAUCGAAGUAAACUUAAAGUCCCCCAUGCCGGUGGUAGCAAAAGCAAUGCAAGGAGAGGUCGUCAAAUGGAUAAAAUAUCGGAGCAUCUAUCUCAAGAUCAAGAACAUGCUUGCCACUUUAGGUGUUCCAUUGAAGAUAUUGGCUCAUCCUAAUGACGCCAUUGGAAAAGUAUAUGGAGCUGAACAUUCUGGUCGUGUGCGUGGUUUAGGUGGUAAUGUUUGCCCCUCGACUGCUUUUGGAAUGCCUAAACAUUCAGUUAGCUAUGCGAAUCUUGGUGGUUCUAGUAAUACGUCUCAUCAACGUGUUGAAGACCUAGAGAAGCAUGUCGAAACCUUGGAAGAGAAGCUGACUGGAUAUGAAGAGACCAAGGAACAACUUGUGGAGACCAAGGAACGGCUUGCGCAAAAUGAGAAUCACUUGGCAACUCUUCAUAGGUUUUUACAAGCUAAAUUUGGUAGUGAGUUGCCUAGUUUCACCUUAGAUUCUUCUUAGCCUUUUGUGGUUAUUUUUGAACCACCAACUAUUUUUGUAUUUCCUAAAACUA